AAUUUCUGCCUCAUUUGAUAUAAUUUAUAAAGAAUAAUUGGUCUUUUGUACUGUUUUUGUCCAGAAAUUGAUAGUUUUUCAGUGUCAUUUAUGCAGGCUCCUUACAGUUCGGCAUUGUCUGUCAGGAGGGUUGGGGUAGUUGUAUCAGGAUAAAGCUGUCAAGUGAGAUGAUGGAUUAAAGGAGGUGAUGCUGAAAUUACAGGGUUAAAACAGUAACCAGUAGUGCUGAAUGAAAGAAAGUCUGCAAGGCGUUUCAAGUUUUUUUGCAUUAAUGUGUCGGAGAGCGGAUGUUCUUUAUCCCAGAAUCCUAUGUAUUGUUGAGUGAUUAUUGAAAGAAAUUCAGAUGCUGAUGCAAAUAGUACUCUCAACAAAGGAUGACCAAUAUUUUAUUAUGGAUUAUUUA